CUGCUGAUGAGUCUACUGUUGUCGGAUUCCUUAGGCGCGAUACUACAGGUGGAAGUCAUCUGCUACAGAAGCUCGGAUGGAGACUUUCCAUUGGUGAAGUUCAAUAGGAGUCCGAUUGCUAGAGAAGUCCGUCUGGGAUUCGCCUGAUGUAGAAGCUCGUCUAAAGAUGAUCUGUCGGAGAACUUUGGCUUAAUGAAGGAUCUGGCGG
rnacentral:lncRNA from 1 species